rnacentral:rRNA from 1 species
UGGGGAAUAUUGGACAAUGGGCGAAAGCCUGAUCCAGCCAUGCCGCGUGAGUGACGAAGGCCUUAGGGUUGUAAAACCCUUUCGUCGGGGACGAUAAUGACGGUACCCGAAGAAGAAGCUCCGGCUAACUUCGUGCCAGCAGCCGCGGUAAUACGAAGGGAGCUAGCGUUGUUCGGAAUCACUGGGCGUAAAGCGCACGUAGGCGGAUAGUUAAGUCAGGGGUGAAAUCCUGGGGCUCAACCCCAGAACUGCCUUUGAUACUGGCUGUCUCGAGGUCGAGAGAGGUUGGUGGAAUUCCUAGUGUAGAGGUGAAAUUCGUAGAUAUUAGGAAGAACACCAGUGGCGAAGGCGGCCAACUGGCUCGAUACUGACGCUGAGGUGCGAAAGCGUGGGGAGCAAACAGGAUUAGAUACCCAUGUAGUCCCUGAGCGGGCUGGCAAGGCGCAU